UAGUCAGAGUCUGCAAAGUGAUUUCUAAUCGACGCAUCGAUCGCAACUAAAAAUCGUGUUUUCACCAUGAAAAUCACCAAAGUCAGCAUCGGGUUGGAUGUUUGGUUGCCCAGAAAAACAACGACGUUAUCACUGUCGAGAUAAGAUGGGGACGGCAUCGCGAGAGAAUCAAUUCCGGUUUGGCACAAUCAAGGAUUUGCAGUUUACACAAAUUCGAAAUUCGAAUCUACAUUCUAAUGCGGAUUCAAUCCGAGCGAGUAGAGGAGCGUGUCUUCCCUGGACCAAUUUCGAAUACAAACCGAACUCAAAUUGGAUACCCACAAGUUUAACUCCUUCGGGAAUAUUUCCAUUUCGAUUUGAGCUCGAACUGAUUGCAGGUUUCUAAAUGCUUCAUCGAUUGUGCGCGAUUGAUGUGCGGCGUUCGUACUACACGGAUUGUACAUACUCAGAGGUUAAGCGUGAGUGAUGUUCCGUCGGUCGCCGUAUUAUACGCGUAUUUCAUCGGUUCUACAAUGUGCAUAAUUAAGGUCUACAACUUAUUGGAUAUACCAAAACGCAAUAAUUUAUUUUGCAUCAAGGUAUGUUCUCGCAUUUCCUCAGCCAUUUGAAAAUUAAACCCAUUAUUGACUUUACUUGUUUGCACUUUUCCAAUUGUUUUACAUAAUUCAAAAUAAAAUUCUGAUGUGUGCUUUAAUUUUUUUUGUUUUGGAUUUCGAAAGUAAAUUAAAUUCUGAAUGCAGUAACACAAUUAUAGAUUAAAGCCCUAUUGACGUGUAAAAACCAAUUUUUGUAUUAAAAAUGCAAAUUGUAUCAAACUAAUUGACAUUGAUAUACCUAUACAUAAAUAAUCAAAGUAUAUAAUACUUCAAUUAUCUACCUGGUGUCCCCAACUAAAGCCGGCGGGCUGACAAUUCUCUUUCCUCCUUAGUCGGUCGUGCGCGAUGGUGUCGUGAGCACGUGUUUUGUUUGUGAGUAUAUUACUCACGUCGAUAUUAGUAGACAAUUUGAAUUUGAGAAUGUGUGGCUUACAGUUAUUGAAUUGUCGCGCAUAGAAUCGGAUAUUGAGUGACUUAUCCUAAUAUUUGUGGCUGCCGUCGGAUACCGUCCCCUUGAUAAUACGUCGAAUUGGUAUUAUUAAUUAUUUAUUCAACGGUUAAUUAGUUCAAAUAAGCAACCUUUCUUACUAUGAAAUUAUAUGAAAAGUCUGUUGCUAGCGG